AUACAGAGAGCAGCAAUAUACAGGGAGCACUGACUGUAUAAUACAGGUCUGUUUGUGUAUAAUAUCCCAAGACAGUCAGUGCUCUCUGUAUAGUGCUGCUCUCUGUAU
rnacentral:miRNA from 1 species